AGUAAGUCGAUUUAAAUUCAAUAAAUGAUAAAUUAAAUAAAUGUGAUAGCACUUGUCGAAUGUUAGGUUCCGACGGUCGUCGGUGAUUGUUUUUCGUUUGUGGAAUUCUAUUCCAUUCGUGGAAGUCCACAUGUGAACAGCGGGUGUUAAGUGGGCUACCGUAGGUUCAGUUAUUUUUUCGCACAUCAGAAUAACUUGGAUUUAUAAAUAGUGUUUGGAAAUGAGCAUAUUUUACGGCAAGUCUUUAUAGCUACGAGAUUUGAUGUUUUCACACGCAAUUUUUGUCAAUUUUGAAAAGUUGCGGUGGAAAAUGGUGAUUGAAGAGGAGUUCUUUAAUCGUAUGAACUACAUUCAGUCACCAUCAAGGGUCGGGAAGGGCCCUUAAAUCACUCUCAAACUUCAACCAUUUUUGUCAUUUUUGAAGAGUUGAGGUGGAAAAUGGGCAGUAUAUCGCGUUUACUUGACUGGAUUUUGUUUCUGUUUGCUUCAGGUGAUAGAGGAAGAGUUCUUUAAUGCAAAUGAACAACUUUGAUGCCCAGACAAGAAGUUUGUGAAUGCACGAAUGGAGUUUGCAAUAUCUAUAAGGGAAAUGAUGGAGAUGCGAGUGUUUUAAGGCAAGUUUUUACUACUUCCGAAUUUGCUAGCUGUCGAUAUUUU